rnacentral:rRNA from 1 species
GACGUAGGAGGCGAGCGUUGUCCGGAUUCAUUGGGCGUAAAGAGCGCGCAGGCGGCUUGGUAAGUCGGAUGUGAAAACCCGAGGCUCAACCUCGGGCGUGCAUCCGAAACUGCUCGGCUAGAGGUAGGUAGGGGAGAUCGGAAUUCCUGGUGUAGCGGUGAAAUGCGCAGAUAUCAGGAAGAACACCAACGGCGAAGGCAGCUCGCUGGGACGGUACUGACGCUGAGACGCGAAAGCGUGGGGAGCGAACAGG